CUUCAGCGAGCCGAGCCACAGCGGCUGCCCCUCGGGCCGGUUGCGGCCGUAGGUGGCGAGCAGGGCCUGGGCCUC
rnacentral:antisense_RNA from 1 species